CUGCCCUCUGUGCUGCCAGUAGCCAUGGGUCCAGAAAGAAAGGAGAGAGAUUCCUUUUCUCCUUCUCCUCUGGAGGCACACAGCUUAGCCUAUCACCCUGAGGCUUCAUCUGGAAGAUCUAUUUUCUGCAUCACAGACUCGGGCCACCAUGGGCUUCCUGAAUGACUUGGAACACAUGUCUAUGUUAUGUCUGUGUCUCUUUUUCUGCCAUUGGCUGUUGCUUACCACUCUGCUGGGGAUGGCUGGCUGGAUGUGGAAGCAGCUGACAGACAACACUUUCAAGCAUAGCCUGGAACAAGGGCUGUCUCACUGCAGAGGAUAAAUCCAGCUUCUGAAGGGUGCCAGGCCAUUGAGUGUUAGAAUGUGCAUCCGGGAAAAUUCCAGAAGAAAACUUCUGAAACAGCACCACCUCCCAAAGGAUCCUGGAGAUCUCUGUGGAGGAUCGGAGGCAGUGUGAGGGGACAGUGUUCCCUGGAGACCUGGCCAGCUUCCAGCCCUUGACCCAGCACUUUUAAGGCUGCCCAUUUUCAGGCCGUUGGAUCUGCAAAGGAUCAAGGGACCGUUGGAUGCUGCCUGCGGAUGCAGCUGAAGAACUGUCAGUCACCUCUCUAGCACCGAGUCUGCCUGCAUGCUGCCGUGCUUUCUACUGCGACGAUAAUGGACUAAACCUCUGAACCGUAAGCCAGCCCCAAUGAAAUAUUUUCC